AUUUAUGCGAUGAAAAAGAAAAGUAAUAAUAUAAUCCUUACAGAGAAGUUGUGUUUGGUGGAAACAACUAGGUUAAUAUUAUGAAGGGAACUUUGGAGUAUUUAUCUUUUAAGUUGGGCAUUUGCUAAGAAGGGUGGAACCGCGGAUUAUUUCGUCCCUUUA
rnacentral:ncRNA from 1 species